GACUCUGUCUCAGAAAAAAAAAAAAAAAGAGAGAGAGAAAAUGAUGCAGGAAGAAUGACGAAUAUAGAAAUCAUAACACAGUCAAGUAUAGUGAAUGAUAAAAGUAAAAAAAAAUUAUAAAGUGUAAAAAACACAUCACCUCCCACCUGGAGACCACAGGUAAUGUGUCAGUCAGAGUUCAAACUUGAGAGUGAAACUCUCAAUAUUUGGAAUAUUAUAGAGUAACAACCUUUUACAGGAAUGGUGUGAGGUGCUAUGGAAGUAAAGGUCUGUCGAGUGGGGUACAGCAUCGCAUGGUGGCCCUGGACUCACUGCAAGUCAGCAGGGCUGGAAAUCGGGAAAUAAAGACAGGGGUAAGGAAGAGUGAAGACAAACUUGCACCCUGUGUCAGCUCCACUGUGUCUCUCACCACUUCUGACCAAUUGUAACUGGGCAGUUUAACUGCAAAAUGCAUUUUAAACUUUUUACUUAUUUCUCGUGCGUUUCAAGAUAUAACCUUGAAGCAAAUUGCAGAAGCCUUUCCCUCUUUGUCUUAAAAUGAACUCCACAUCCCUCCCUUUCUCACCAUCUAUACUCCCUUCACAUUCAUCUACCUGUAUGCUAGCAUCUAAUUAUGUCCCUUUUUAGAAGCUCCUGGGGGUAAUCUUGAGACAGAUGAACCAAGUCUGGAGACCCACCUGCAAAGUUCCAGAGAUGACUUCAAGGUGGCGAGUCAACAGCCUCACCAUUGUUGAGAUGACACCAGCCCGUGAUCCAGGUAAACUGGGACCCAAGAUAGCCACCAGAACAAGGUACACAGACGUUGUACUCAGCACAAUUCUUGCAAGCUUUUCACAUCAAGUUUUCCUUUUUUAAACCCCUGUCUUCCUCUCUGCCAAAUUGAAGUGGUUGCUUUGGAUGGGAACCCGGCCACUUGUUCUUUAUUAGUUUGAGUGAAUAAAGUCACUUUCUUUCUACCAGAACUCAUUCUUGUUAACUGGAUUCUGCAGGCGGUGAGCAUCCGGACCUCUGUUCAGUUACACGAUGAAAACCUCCAGAGCAUAAUGGCCCCUCCUUCAUUCACCUCCCAGGUCUCAUGGCUUCACUGUGGCCAGCUCUAGCUCGGAACCAUAUGUAUAUAGGGAAAGAGAUUCUGAGAAACUCCCACAUCACAAGUUGAUUAUAGCCCAAUCCAUCACAGCUACAUUUCCUAAUAUUUCUGAGUUUGCAUCUCAUCUGCUCAUCUGGUAAAGAGUAUGGUGACAUGACUGCAUCAUAGCCUGGUUGUAUCACCUGAGAUGAUGUAAAACUGUAAAAUGCCAGGUGGUAUAUGUAUUAUUAUUCCAACCAGUCGGUCAGCUUUUAUUUUAGAGAAGCAGAAUCAGAGGUAAUAGGGAAGAAGAAACAGUGUAUGUAUCAAUGGAUGUGUUCUAAGAUAAGAUGACGACCUGACACAGACAGCCAGUUCUAGUUGGCAGGGGUAGGGGGUGGCAUGAAUACUUCUAGUUUGAUGUUGUGAGAUUUGUCUGGAAAGCACGGGUUGCCUGUGUGGAAGAGUUUUGCCUUCUUUCCACUUCUGCCAUAGCCCUUCAGAUGUGCUUCUCCUAUAUCCCAUACGUGAUGUACACAUGUUUAGUUGGUUUGUAUGAGCAGUGGCAGCGGAGGCCAGGUCUUGGCUUCCUGGCUGCCACUGGCCCUGGUUACCAUGGACAUAAGUAUUUCCCUUUCAUUCAGGGCAGGGGUUCAUGGCCCCUCCUGCAAACAACAGUGUGCGUCCACGUGACUAUUAAACUGUCAAAUUCACAAGACCCACUCCAAAAUAAACCCUUAUGGUCUCCACAAGCCUAUUUCUCCUCACUACUAUCUGGGAAGCACAGACUUUAGGAAGGGCUUCAUGUUUUAUAAAAAUGCCAGUGAUUAUCUGGAAAAAAUGACACCCAAUUUUCCACCACAUCCUAAGACCUACGGGUGUCUACCUAAAAGCUAAUAUGUUGUCAUGUUCCUGCCAUCUCAGAUAUGAAGCUGAAGAUAUUUCAUAUGUAUGUCCCAGAAAUGAAUGAAGAAGAAAUAUACAGUUGCUUGACUACAUGACAUGCAGCUCCCUGUUGCUUAUUCUGAAUGUGCCCUGCCUCUAGGAGGAGCUGUAGAUCUGUGGUACUGGUAACACUAGGCCCACUAGCCUUAUCAUCAUGCACAGCUUUUGUGUUUUCUUCCUCCCUCAGCUUCCACACAACAGCCCUGAUGUUUACCAGCAGGCGUCUCUUGUUUAGUCUCAUUGUCUUUGGCAAGUUCAAUCUCAACCAGAUUGUUGUUCUUCUCAAGAGGACUGAUCCCAGCAGGCUCCAGCCCUAAAGCGGACUGUUCGGGAGAUCUGUGUUAACUUUGUGUUUCAGUCCUCAGUCUCACGGUACUGGGUCCUACCGUGAGCGGAAAAUCCCUCUCUACAUCAGAACAGCCUUCUGGCCAUGCUACAGUCCUCGCUCAGAAACACGGCACACCAUAUAUAAAUAUGAUGGAUAAGCAGUGAGUGUGUAAAGACCUUGUGACUACUGAAUGUUUUGUAAAAGGUACGUAUCCAAAAUAAUUAAAAUCAGGACCUCAAAGAACUAUCUGCACUUCCAUGUUCAUUGCAGCAUUAUUCAUAAUAGCCCAAAUGUGGAAACCAUCUAAAUGCUCAUUGACAGAUGAAUGGAUAAAGAAAAUGUGGCACAUAUAUACCAUCAAAUAUUAUUUAGCCUUAAUACAGCAGAAAAUCCUGCCAUAUGCAAAAACAUGACUGAACCUACAGGAUGUUAUGGUAAGUGAAAUGAACCAAUCACAGAAGGAUAAACCCUACAUGGUUCCACUUCCUAAAGCAGGCAGACUUGUACAGAGAGUAGAGAGGUGCUUGCCAGGGGCUUGGGAUAAGGGGAAAUGGGAGGCGUUCCAUGGGUACAAAGUUUCAGUUGUGCAAAAUGAAAUAAGUUCUAGAUAUUUGCUGUAUCCUACUGUGCUUUCAGUUAACAAGACUUAAACAUUUAUGGAGAGAGUAGAUCUCAUGUUAAGUGUUCUUAUCACAAAAAAAAGAAAGAAAGAAAAGAAAG
rnacentral:lncRNA from 1 species